GACGAACGCUGGCGGCGUGCCUAACACAUGCAAGUCGAACGAAGCAUUUGGAGCUGAUCUCUUCGGAGUGACGCACCUUAUGACUUAGUGGCGGACGGGUGAGUAACACGUGAGCAACCUGCCUUUCAGAGUGGAAUAACAGUUGGAAACGGCUGCUAAUACCGCAUAACGUCAUAGUACCGCAUGAUACCUUGACCAAAGAUUUAUCGCUGAGAGAUGGGCUCGCGUCCGAUUAGGUAGAUGGUGGGGUAACGGCCUACCAUGCCGACGAUCGGUAGCCGGACUGAGAGGUUGAUCGGCCACAUUGGGACUGAGACACGGCCCAGACUCCUACGGGAGGCAGCAGUGGGGGAUAUUGCACAAUGGGCGCAAGCCUGAUGCAGCAACGCCGCGUGCGGGAAGACGGCCUUCGGGUUGUAAACCGCUGUCCUUGGGGAAGAAACAAAUGACGGUACCCAAGAAGGAAGCCACGGCUAACUACGUG
rnacentral:rRNA from 1 species